UAGGGAAUCUUCGGCAAUGGGGGCAACCCUGACCGAGCAACGCCGCGUGAGUGAGGAAGGUUUUCGGAUCGUAAAGCUCUGUUGUAAGUCAAGAACGGGUGUGAGAGUGGAAAGUUCACACUGUGACGGUAGCUUACCAGAAAGGGACGGCUAACUACGUGCCAGCAGCCGCGGUAAUACGUAGGUCCCGAGCGUUGUCCGGAUUUAUUGGGCGUAAAGCGAGCGCAGGCGGUUUGAUAAGUCUGAAGUUAAAGGCUGUGGCUCAACCAUAGUUCGCUUUGGAAACUGUCAAACUUGAGUGCAGAAGGGGAGAGUGGAAUUCCAUGUGUAGCGGUGAAAUGCGUAGAUAUAUGGAGGAACACCGGUGGCGAAAGCGGCUCUCUGGUCUGUAACUGACGCUGAGGCUCGAAAGCGUGGGGAGCGAACAGGAUUAGAUACCCUGGUAGUCCACGCCGUAAACGAUGAGUGCUAGGUGUUGGAUCCUUUCCGGGAUUCAGUGCCGCAGCUAACGCAUUAAGCACUCCGCCUGGGGAGUACGACCGCAAGGUUGAAAC
rnacentral:rRNA from 1 species